CUCAGCUGUUUGGAGUCCACCGUUUGCUUGGAACAAACCCAUCUGGUGAUGAACAAGUUCUUAAAUGUGUCUGGAAAAUGGAGAUCGUAAUACUUGGUUUAUUGCACCUGCUCCAGCUAUUGCUGAAAUUCCAGCUGCAGAGGAGUUACAGAGGGAACUGGAAAAAAGCUCAGCUCACACUCAUAUGGGUAAAGUAUCAGAGAA
rnacentral:lncRNA from 1 species